rnacentral:rRNA from 1 species
UGCUGACGAGUGGCGGACGGGUGAGUAAUACUUAGGAAUUUGCCUAAUAGUGGGGGACAACCCGGGGAAACUCGGGCUAAUACCGCAUACGCUCUACGGAGGAAAGCGGGGGAUCGUUAAGACCUCGCGCUAUUAGAUGAGCCUAAGCCCGAUUAGCUAGUUGGUAGGGUAACGGCCUACCAAGGCAGUGAUCGGUAGCUGGUCUGAGAGGACGACCAGCCACACUGGGACUGAGACACGGCCCAGACUCCUACGGGAGGCAGCAGUGGGGAAUAUUGGACAAUGGGCGCAAGCCUGAUCCAGCAAUGCCGCGUGUGUGAAGAAGGCCUGCGGGUUGUAAAGCACUUUCGGUCGGGAAGAUGGGGUUUUACGCUAAUACCGUGAAGCCUUGACGUUACCGACAUAAGAAGCACCGGCUAACUCCGUGCCAGCAGCCGCGGUAAUACGGAGGGUGCGAGCGUUAAUCGGAAUUACUGGGCGUAAAGGGCGCGUAGGCGGUCGAGCGAGUCGGAUGUGAAAGCCCCGGGCUUAACCUGGGAACUGCAUUCGAUACUGCUGGGCUAGAGUAUGGUAGAGNGGAAGUGGAAUUCCGGGUGUAGCGGUGAAAUGCGUAGAUAUCCGGAGGAACACCAGUGGCGAAGGCGACUUCCUGGACCAAUACUGACGCUGAGGUGCGAAAGCGUGGGGAUCAAACAGGAUUAGAUACCCUGGUAGUCCACGCCCUAAACGAUGAGAACUAGCCGUUGGGGGGAGCUUAUUCCCUUUGGUGGCGUAGCUAACGCGUUAAGUUCUCCGCCUGGGGGAGUACGGGCCGCAAGGUUAAAACUCAAAAGGAAUUGACGGGGGGCCCGCACAA